AUUGAACGCUGGCGGCAUGCUUUACACAUGCAAGUCGAACGGUAACAGGCCGCAAGGUGCUGACGAGUGGCGAACGGGUGAGUAAUGCAUCGGAACGUGCCCAGUCGUGGGGGAUAACGCAGCGAAAGCUGCGCUAAUACCGCAUACGAUCUAUGGAUGAAAGCGGGGGACCGUAAGGCCUCGCGCGAUUGGAGCGGCCGAUGUCAGAUUAGGUAGUUGGUGGGGUAAAGGCUCACCAAGCCAACGAACUGUAGCUGGUCUGAGAGGACGACCAGCCAAACUGGGACUGAGACACGGCCCAGACUCCGACGGGAGGCAGCAGUGGGGAAUUUUGGACAAUGGGCGCAAGCCUGAUCCAGCAAUGCCGCGUGCAGGAAGAAGGCCUUCGGGUUGUAAACUGCUUUUGUACGGAACGAAACGGUCCUGGUUAAUACCUGGGGCUAAUGACGGUACCGUAAGAAUAAGCACCGGCUAACUACGUGCCAGCCGCCGCGGUAAGAC
rnacentral:rRNA from 1 species